rnacentral:rRNA from 1 species
UACGAAGGGGGCUAGCGUUGUUCGGAAUUACUGGGCGUAAAGCGCGCGCAGGUGGUCUUUCAAGUCAGUGGUGAAAGCCCGGAGCUCAACUCCGGAAAUGCCAUUGAAACUGUGAGACUUGAGGACGAGAGAGGUGAGUGGAAUUCCCAGUGUAGAGGUGAAAUUCGUAGAUAUUCGCAAGAACACCAGUGGCGAAGGCGGCUCACUGGCCCGAUACUGACGCUGAUGCACGAAAGCGUGGGGAGCAAACAGG